rnacentral:rRNA from 1 species
UGGUGGAGUGAUUUGUCUGGUUAAUUCCGAUAACGAACGAGACCUUAACCUGCUAACUAGAUAUGCUCAUUAUAUGGGUACAAUCUUCUUAGAGGGACUAUCGGUUCGCAGCCGGUGGAAGUUCGAGGCAAUAACA